rnacentral:lncRNA from 1 species
GUUAAGUUUUAACAACAAAAAAUAAACUCUAUGCAAACAAAAAAUAAUAAUAAUAAUUGUUAACGGGUCGGAUUGAACCCGACCCAAACCCAAUAACCCCGAUCCGUUUACAGGUCUAGCUUGUACCAAAAGAAAUUUGAUAGAAGAGAAAAUUGGAGCAUUGAUCCUAGACUUCGGCCCAACUUCACUCAUAAAUCAUCGUGGUAACUUUAUGUCCACCACUCGAUUUUGAUUGUAUUACCGUUGAAGAAAUACAGCAUAAGCACUCAUAAAUUUUCAUGGUGGCGACAAUAGCGGCGCCAACAGCAAUGAUGGUGUCGCCAGCAGCAAUGGUGAGGGUAUAAUGGUGGUGCCAAUUCUAGCGUGUGGUUGUUGGGGGUGUAGAGGUAGCAAUGGUGCACGUGGCGGUCAAUACUAUGUAAAAUUUUACAUGAUCCGCCUUUUCCUGCCCCAGGAUGAACGUACGUAGGUUGAGACCCCCGUAUAAGAAACUUGGUGUUAAGAGCUGCUACCCCAAAUCCAAAGCCAAAUAACUUUUCUUAGUGUUUGUGACGCAGCUAUGACCCGCUAACAGAUGAGGGGGCGGGAAAAGGGCUUAAAAUACAUCUCUGAAAUAAAAAAAGUCCACAACAACUUGAACAAUGUCACGGUUUUCUUCUUUUACCUAAAGGAAAUACUAUAUAUGAACGAAACCACGCACCGGGGAAAUGUGGAAACGCAAUGGAAUGCUCGACAAGUACGAUCACCCACUCAUGUGAAAAUCACAUGCCACCACCUCAUAUUCAACACUGCAACGCAUAGCUUUAAGUAUUUGUAUGCAACAAGCAAAGUUAUUUGAUCAUGCUUUUCAAAUCAACACAAAUCGAAGCAAACCGCAACGAAAUUUAUGAUCAAGAUCACAUAAUGUUAAAAACUCUCUGACUACAUACUACUCUGUUGCUCAAACUAAACCAGCUAAUCGAUCUACUUUUCUCAAUCAAAAACAGCACAAACUGAACAAAUUAUCGAAAUAUAAAUUGAAAAACAAAACAAUCAAAGCAAACUGCAACGAAAUUUAUGAUCAAAUCCCACAUAAUGUAAAACUCACAACAUUACUAUCUGUUGCCAGCUAACCACCAGCUUCACUCUUUUCUAAGUCAAAGAAACAGCACAACAACAAAUAUCGAAAUAUCAAUUGAAAAACAAAACACUCAAAGCAAACUGCAAACGAAAUUUAUGACAAAUCCACACAAUAUAAAACUGCACUACACUACUUCUUUGCUCACUAACCAGCUCAAUCGACUACUUUCUCAAUAAGAAACACAAACUGAACCAAUAUCGAAAAAAAUUAAAAACAAAACAAUCAAGCAACUGCCAACGAAAAUGUAUGAUCAAAUCCUAACCAACUAAAUGCAACUAUUACUGUUGCUCCUAAACCAGCUCAAAUCGACUACUUUUCUCAUAAGAAAAGCAAAACUGAACAAAUUAUCGAAAUAUAAAUUGAAAAACAAAACAAUCAAAGCAAACUGCAACGAAAUUUAUGAUCAAAUCCCACAUAAUGUAAAACUGCACUACACAUCUGCCUCAGCUUAAACCAGCCUAACUUUCUCAAUCAAAACAGCACAAACGAACAAUUAUCGAAAUAUAAAUUGAAAAACAAUAAACAAUCACAAAGCAAACUGUCAACAUAAUAAUGAUAUCAAAUCCCACAUAUAUGUAAAUAAGCAAACUACAGUUACUACUUUCGAUAAGCCAAACCAUGCUUCAAAUGGACUACUUUCUCAAUCAGAAACAGCACAAACUGAACAAAUUAUCGAAAUAUAAAUUGAAAAACAAAACAAUCAAAGCAAACUGCAACGAAAUUUAUGAUCAAAUCCCACAUAAUGUAAAACUGCAACUACAUUACUACUCUGUUGCUCAGCUAAACCAGCUUCAAAUCGACUACUUUUCUCAAUAAGAAACAGCACAAACUGAACAAAUUAUCGAAAAUAAAAUUGAAAAACAAAACAAUCAAAGCAAACGCAACGAAAUUUAUAUCAACCCAAUUAUACACUACACUACUCUGUUGCUCAGCAAACCAGAGCUUCAAAUCGACUACUUUUCUCAAUCAAAAACAGCACAAACUGAACAAAUUAUCAAAAUAUAUAUUGAAAAACAAAACAAUCAAAGCAAACUGCAACGAAAUUUAUGAUCAAAUCCCACAUAAUGUAAAACUGCAACUACAUUACUACUCUGUUGCUCAGCUAAACCAGCUUCAAAUCGACUACUUUUCUCAAUCAAAAACAGCACAAACUGAACAAAUUAUCGAAAUAUAAAUUGAAAAACAAAACAAUCAAAGAAAAACUGCAAAAAUAUAUCAAACCCACAAAUGUAAAACGCAAACUAUUACACUCUUUUGCUCAGCUAAACCAAGCUUCAAAUCGACUUUUCUCAAUCAAAAACAGCACAAACUGACAAUUAUCGAAAUUAAAUAAAACAAAACAAUCAAAGCAAAAAACUGCAACGAAAUUUAUGAUCAAUUCCCACAUAAUGUAAAACUGCAACUACAUUACUACUCUGUUGCUCAGCUAAACCAGCUUCAAAUCGCUACUUUCUCAACUCAAAAACAGGACAAACUGACAUAAUGUAAUGCAACUACAUUACUAAUCAUAAGCUUCUCGACUACUUUUCUCAAAAAACACACAAACUGAACCCUCCAAAGCAAACCCCAACGAAAUUUAGAUCAAAUCCCCAUAAUGUAAAACUGCAUUACACAUUACUAACUCAAAUGUUGCUUCAGCUAUUAACCAUUGAUUCAAUCAAACAACUCUUGCACUCAAAAAGACAAACCAACAUAAUAUCGAUGCAAACAAAUUACUACUCUGUUUUGCACGAAAUUUUAUCGCUAUCAAUCCCAUCAAUAAUGUAAAACUGCAAUUACAUUUAACUCCAGCUCUUUUGCAAUCUUCAGCCUUUAAACCUUCCAAAUUCAACUACAUUACUACUCUGUUGCUCAGCUAAACCAGCUUCAAAUCGACUACUUUUCUCAAUAAAAAACAGCACAAACUGAACAAAUUAUCGAAAUAUAAAUUGAAAAACAAAAAGAAUAUACCUUGAAGGAUGCCCCAUUUGAAAUCCUAAUCCUCCAAUUCCAAACAAAACCCCCUCCCCAAAACAAGCUAAAACCCGUCACCAAAUCACUCAAUCUUCAUCAUCGUUGUCACUCUCAUCACUAAAGUAACCAGGUUUCUUUGCAACCUUUUUACUCUUCUUCUCCUCCGCCUCCUCCGCCGCCAACCGCAACCUCAGAUCAGCCCCAUCAUCCACCACCGACGCCCAAUUAUCAUCCUCAAACUUCUCACCACCACUAUCAUACUCCUCCUCGUCCACAGGUGCCGCCCUGCCGCCAUUACCGCUACCA